UCGUCUAAACCCGCUUGCGGUGCAUAAGCGCUGAUGACGUUGAGCACGCCGCCCCCAAUAGCCAGCUUGAUAGACAUUAACCUAUCAUUCACUCGCCUAACCUCGACCACGGACUCCCUUAGGUCCCUAUCCACCAAGAUGCCCACUGCACUCUUACCUCUCACGACCCCAGAAUACCACAGUUUAAACCCGUCUACAUCC
rnacentral:lncRNA from 1 species